GACGGAGGGAGCAAGCGUUGUCCGGACUCACUGGGCGUAAAGCGUGCGUAGGUGGUGCGAGGCGUCGGCGCUGAAAGCGCCCGGCUUAACCGGGGGACGGGCGACGAUACGAUCGCACUGGAGGCAGGGAGACGUUGGUGGAAUUCCGGGUGUAGUGGUGAAAUGCGUAGAGAUCCGGAGGAAUGCCGGUGGCGUAAGCGGCCAACGAGUCCUGACCUGACACUGAGGCACGAAAGCGUGGGGAGCAAACCGG
rnacentral:rRNA from 1 species